AAAAUUAGUUAACAUUAACAUUCUUUUAUUUGCAACAUGAAGUAUAUUUAUUUCUGAUUUCCUGAACAAUUUGGCUUCAUUGUAAUGAGGUUAAUGAUCUUUGAAAAAUCAUGAUUAUGAACAUACAGUUACUUUGUCUUGAGCUGAUCGGCAAACUGUGGUAGUGUUGGUUGAUUGGUGUUUAUAUUUGUUCAAGCUUGACAACUUUAUCACUUUAUUUUCUAAUAUAUAUAUUUCUCAUUACAGAUAAGAACAAAGAUUAAAUUGUAAGAAGGGUUGCUUAUAAAAGCAUACAGUACAUCUGAAACUGCUGAGACUGAUCAGCUGCUAUAGAAGACAAAAUGAGUGCAGAGACAUGCAAAGGAAUACUGCAAGGCACUACUGACUAGGCUGUGCCCAGGUCUCCGGAACCUGCGAUGACACUCCAUCGGCCCUUAGUCUGCGGCUUUGGAUCCACCAGCUCUGUCUCCAUCGGUCGGCCCCCAGAUGUCGGCAGCCACACCAUCUACAUCUUGGCUCCUCCCUCCCGCGACUUCGCCGUGUGUUGUCAGCACUGGGAUGCUCUGGGUGUGUGCCAUGUGCCAAACACCAUCUAAGCCGCCAGGGCAUCAUCGUCAUCCUCUCAUCACCAUCCCUACACCAUCUCCUCGUCCACCUCCAAAACCCACAUAUAAAUGUAUUAACCUUUUCAGUGGUGAGUUUAAAAUAUUCCAGCGGUCCCCCCAGAGUGAGUUUUUUUUAGGCGACCGUUAUUUUAGAACGUUUCCCCUUAAUGUUUCCAUGGCGACGCGUCAUGAUUGUCACGUGACACACCGCGGCCACAAUAACACUGUAUGACAGAUGGAUCGCUUUUAUUUCGUUUUUUCCUUUUUUAUUCAAAAUAUUCAUAAACCUGCUUACCAUAUAAUCAACUAUCUGAUAUUCCGAUUCACAAAUAUGUGCAAAUGAG